rnacentral:lncRNA from 1 species
CCACCAGGGCUCCGAAGAUUAAUCCAGGCUGACGGGCGGGCCCUGAAAGGCGUGAUGGACAAUUCAUUAAACUCCCCAAAUGCCGCACAACCUGGGCGUGAAGGCUGAGUUAGCCCCCUGGGGGCUGUGCCUUUGUCCCGAUUGUGUGUCUCCGCCACAGCAGAGCCGGGCAGCCCCCAGAGAGUGGGGAGGCCAACGUGUAUCCAGCGCCCUGGCACCUGAAGAUCAGAGGUGGUGAGAGGUGGCGCAUCAAGCACAGUCCUGAUGACACCAUCCUAUGGCCACCACCCUGAGCCUACUGUGGCUCCUGAGACCUUUAGGAAGAUGCUACACUGGUGGGGGCGAGGAGCCGCUAAUAGCUACAGUGGAAGGAAAUACUGAUUCCAGGAGGCAAACGCAUCUUUGAGA